CUUGAAGGUGGAAAUUUUGUCUUGGUUAAUUUUAGCUAGUUGUCUAGUUUGUUAAGUUUUUAUUUUUGUUUGAGUCUUGCUUGAGGACAAGCAAAAAGCUAAGUUUGGGGGUAUUUUGAUGAGUAGAUUUUAUAUUAUAUAUUUUACCCUAAUCUUAGUAUAUUUUGGUUAAUAUAUUGGAAGAAUUUUGAUACUUUGAAUUGUAUUUUCAAUAUAGGACUUUUGACUUCCUCUAGAGUAAAACAGAACCAAAUGGACGAAUUUUGGAGUAAUUCCAGUUGGAGGACGUUCGUGAGUCACUUAGCUUGAUCGUAUCAAAAUUUGGGAUUUUUCCACUAAGCGGUUAUUUUCUGGCGAUGAAAUAAAGAAGCAGUGCGCAGUGCUGGAAAAUGACGUUUUUAGGCUUAAAUUGCGUUUUUGGAGCCCAAGAUGACCUCGGAUGGGUUUGUGGCCUUCUGGAAAAGUGUUUAGAAUAUUCCAAACAUUAAAUCCAGCUAUAUUGGGCCAGUUUUGGAGCAGCUUAUGGGCCAAAACGUGGCUGUUCAGAUUUUAGACGAAUUUUAUCAUUUAAUUUAGGGUUAUGUUUCCUAAGUUUUAGAGGAUUAUUAAUUUUAGUUUGCUAGGGUUUGCGUGGGAGGCUUAGCAAAUAUAUUGCUUGGCCGUCUACCAUUUUUCUUGAUGCUUUCUUUUAUGCAAUUUUGGAGACAAAGAAUUGUUAGGGUUUUGAAGACUUUUUACUUGAAGGUGCUUUCAAUCAUUUUCUUGAAUAUAUUUUCUAUGAUUUCAAUUAUGAAUAUGCGGAACGUCCGGACGGGUUAUGGUGGAACCCUAAUGCUUUCUUAAUUUUAUUCUCCCAAAACUGUUUCUUUCUCUCUAGCUCUAAUAUUGCAGAUUGUUUAUUUUAAUUCAUUAAUUUCGUUUUUAUUUUAAUUAGGUUAUAAAAUCAAUCACUUCAAUUUCUACUUUACAAUAAUUAAAUGGAAUCUGAAUAGUUCGAAUUAUUUAAUAAUCCCUGUGGAGACGCGAAAUCUGUUUAUACUACAAUAACCUUGUGAUUCUUGCAAGUAAAUAGGAGAUUUAAGCCCGUUCACAUGAGUAGUAAAAAUCCUAUCAAUAUGCAAAAGGAAAAGAUCAUGAACAAUUUAUGCAUUCCUAAGCUAGUAAUAACAAUAAUCAUGCGUAUUGUUUUGUCAAAUUAAGCGCGUAUAUACAUAUAUAUACUAGUAAUUAUACAACAUCCUCUAUUAAUAUGCAAAAGAAAGAAAGGAGCAAUUACUUCACCAUUUCAUUUCAUUGCCCAAGUCAAUCUUUGCCAUUAACUGACUCUCUAAAACAUCAUUCACUAAACUUUCCUCCAGGAUAUUUUACAAAAUGCUAGUUAACUAUAGUAUAGCAUUCCAAAGAAGAUCCCUAUAAUUUACAAAAUCCUAGUUUUGAUUCACAGAGCAAGGCUAAGAAGCCAUAACCUAAGAUUGUACGAUUAACAAAAUACAUCCAUGUCAAAAGGCACCACAUAAUAUAAUCAUCCGCUUGCUUUGUCGCUGAAAAGCCUUUGGACGAACACUUUCUUGAGUUCUGAAUCUAUUGACCUGAACACUCCCACAUUUUAUGGUUUUUCCAAAAUAAAAGUCAAUCCAUCAACUUGAUCUAUAGGAGAAAGACCCAUUGUUUUAAGUUCGUUACCUAUGUCACUAUGAUCUGCAGUACCUCGAACUAUAGUUUCAAUAACCAUUUGCAACCUUUUCCCACUUUCAACAUAAAAUUGUUUCAGUCCAUUAAUAAUUGCCUCGGUUCUAUCACUUGAACUUCCCGUAGCUCUUUUCCUUUUUCUUUGGCUAUUUGCAGAUUGGUUACUUUGUUGCCCUUGCUGUUUCACGGAGAAACAUCAUUUUUAGCUCCAAUAUUACUUGCAUCAACCUGAUUGUGACUUUGUUCCUCCAACAUUUUAGCAAGAUUUUUGGCUACAUUACCCGUAGCCUGAUCAUUUCCAAAUAUAUAUGCAAAUCUAUCAUAUAGUGGAAAAGGUUUGCUUCUUCAUCCAUCGGCUUCCUUAUUUUUCUAAGAUUAUAUCAACAUAGCAUUACUUAAAUUUAGCAUACAUAACAAAUAUAGCUGCAAGAAUAUAAGUAAUGUAUAAAUAAAAUAGGAUAUGAACCUGCACAUAAGUUUGCCAUGUGUCAUCAUUGUCAACUUCAAUGCACUUUUUGACAUCAUUCCAUGAAAAUCCACUCGUGUUUAUUAUAUCAAUGACCAAACUAUAUGUUUUUUUUCCAUUUCUUCAACUUUGACUCAAUAUGAGGAGUUGCCUUUAUAUUUGAAUUAGGACAUAAAACAUUGACAUCUUUUGCUACUUCAAUCAAAGUACCUUGUUUGAAAGCACCUGUGUCACAUCGUUGCCUCUGAGCAACAAAAUCCUAAAGAACAGAUAGUAAUGCUUCUUCCUCAAAUGCUUCCCAUUUACGCCUCCAUCAUUUUGGCUCAUGAGCAGCAUUCAAAUUAUUGUCGUUAUCGAUACCUAAACAAAAAAUAUUUGAAUGUACUAAAGCACAAUACAAAGAAUCAAUUUGCAUAAUAUUCAAUCAAUUUGCAUACUAUCCAAUCAAUAAAUCGAAUUACAUUCAAUGAUGAGCAAUCUAAUAAUUUUAUAAUAUCCAGCAUAUGCAUGAUAAAAAGGAAAACUAAAAUAAAAUGUUAUCAUUAACACAUAUAGCUAGUUCAGUUGCUGGUUCUUAAUUGCUCUCCACUCAUUAUACAUUUCCUGAGCCAUGGCAUUCCUCUUUGCAGUCCACUGGUCAGAUGUUCCAACACUACCAACAUAUUCACCUUCUUCCGUAUUUUGUCCAUCUUCUAUUAUUGGCAAAUUCUCCAUUGGAUCUACAUACAUCUCUUGCCAAAUAAGAUUGUGUAGUAGGCAACAAGCGGUAAUUAUUUGACUUUGUGUCCUUAUCGGAUGGAAAGAUGAACUCCUUAGUAUCGUCCACCUUCCUUUUAUCAAGCCAAAACAACGUUCAAUUACAUUCCUUACCUUAGAAUGCUUCAUGUUAAAAUAUUCUUCCUUAUUAAAAGUUGUUCGUCCCUCCCAUUCAGAUAAAUGACAAGGUAUUCCUGAAGGAAAAAUUUUGUCCUAGCUAAGAACAAGUAUGAACAUUUGAAUACUCAUGCAAGCUAUUAACACUUUAAAGUAGGCAUGCAUCCAAAAACAAUUCAUAAAACCCAUGACUUUCAAAGCCUAGUAUAUGGUGAACCAAAAUAAACUCUUUAACAACAUUAAAGAUAAGUAAAGAUUUAGAGUUUCUUUACCCUUGAAGCUCAUCCUUGUUUACAUAAGGGAUUCACCCAAGUGGAGGGCCUUCAAGUCACCUCCAAGCUCCUUGGAUCCUCCUUGUGUUUUCCUCCCUUUAGUGCUCCUUUGAAGAUUUGAGGAAAUGAGGAUAUGUUCUCCAAAACAC
rnacentral:lncRNA from 1 species